rnacentral:rRNA from 1 species
GAUGAACGCUAGCGGCAGGCUUAAUACAUGCAAGUCGAGGGACAGCACAGGUAGCAAUACUGGGUGGUAACCGGCAAACGGGUGCGGAACACGUACACAACCUUCCUUUAAGUGGGGGAUAGCCCAGAGAAAUUUGGAUUAAUACCCCGUAAUAUAGUUGAAUGGCAUCAUUUGAUUAUUAUAGCUACGGCGCUUAAUGAUGGGUGUGCGGCUGAUUAGAUAGUUGGCGGGGUAACGGCCCACCAAGUCUACGAUCAGUAGCUGAUGUGAGAGCAUGAUCAGCCACACGGGCACUGGGACACGGGCCCGACUCCUAAGGGAGGCAGCAGUAAGGAAUAUUGGUCAAUGGACGCAAGUCUGAACCAGCCAUGCCGCGUGAAGGAUUAAGGUCCUCUGGAUUGUAAACUUCUUUUAUUUGGGACGAAAAAGGGCCUUUCUAGGUCAACUGACGGUACCAGAUGAAUAAGCACCGGCUAACUCCGUGCCAGCCGCCGACGUAAAAC